CGUAUAGAUUGCUUGCUUGUUAACCUCAGAACUCUAUGUAGCGUCAGUUAUAAUUGAAAUUAUAUCCUCUUUGUGAACUACAGAAUGUAGAGACCAAUAUCCUAAUGUUUGCACGCUCUGGUACGACUUCUGUGAUCCUGGUGCGUUGAAAUACAAGGUCCUAAGACAGUCAGUGGAAUUUAUAAAAGCAAACUGUCCAGUUACAUGCAAAAAAUGCCAACCGGGACAAAGACUGCUGAAGUCUUCAAGAAACCUUAACGAACGACUAUAGAUGUCUCUCUGUAAAAUGGAAAACCACAAACGAGGGAACCUCUGUAACACGUUUAACGUCGUCGGAAACAGAAAAGAACGAGAGAUGAACUGCCAAACAAUGUGCAUUACACUGUGCCGUCCCGUGUGCUACCGUUUUUAUCGAUAAUUAAAAUAAGGCGUCCGCUCUCUGCGCCAAGAGGAAGAAUACGAGAAGUUUUUUUUUAGAUGUUAACAUUUUCAUUUCAUGCAAUCAGAAAACGAAUUUUGAAAGACGGUCGUUACUUUUCGACUUUUCCUCCCAGAGGAGAGAGUGACCUCAAAUCAAAAAGGAAAAAUGGCUCGCAUCGAAAAUUUGAAAAUAAGCAAAAGAGAUAACAGGUGAUAAUAGGACACUUGCCGUAAGGUCGACAGAUUUGAGAUCGCUGCUUACGCCAGAUUAAGAAAAGUGAAGGUUAUUAGCCAGCAAGAAGUUUAUUGCAGUCGCUACGAGAGAUGGUCGCUUCUAAGAGUCCCAUGUAAAUAUUCUCGCAACAGGCAAUAUGUUGAUACUUGCGAAAAGACAUAAUUGCUAACGAAGGACCUCUGUAAAUAUUAUUAUGUAAAGAGUAAUGAAUGUGACAUUAAACAAGAAAAAAUGGGAGUCA